GAUGAACGCUGGCGGCGUGCCUAAUACAUGCAAGUCGAGCGAACAGACGAGGAGCUUGCUCCUCUGACGUUAGCGGCGGACGGGUGAGUAACACGUGGAUAACCUACCUAUAAGACUGGGAUAACUUCGGGAAACCGGAGCUAAUACCGGAUAAUAUAUUGAACCGCAUGGUUCAAUAGUGAAAGACGGUUUUGCUGUCACUUAUAGAUGGAUCCGCGCCGCAUUAGCUAGUUGGUAAGGUAACGGCUUACCAAGGCAACGAUGCGUAGCCGACCUGAGAGGGUGAUCGGCCACACUGGAACUAAGACACGGUCCAGACUCCUACGGGAGGCAGCAGUAGGGAAUCUUCCGCAAUGGGCGAAAGCCUGACGGAGCAACGCCGCGUGAGUGAUGAAGGUCUUCGGAUCGUAAAACUCUGUUAUUAGGGAAGAACAAAUGUGUAAGUAACUAUGCACGUCUUGACGGUACCUAAUCAGAAAGCCACGGCUAACUACGUG
rnacentral:rRNA from 1 species